rnacentral:rRNA from 1 species
GACAGAGGUGCCGAGCGUUAGGCGGAAUCACUGGGCUUAAAGCGUGUGUAGGCGGGUCGUUAAGUGUCUUGUGAAAUCCCACCGCUCAACGGUGGAACUGCUGGGCAUACUGGCGAUCUUGAGCCACCUAGGGGCAGACGGAACAAGCGGUGGAGCGGUGAAAUGCGUAGAUAUCAUUUGGAACGCCAAUGGUGAAAACAGCUCGCUGGGGGUUUGCUGACGCUGAGACACGAAAGCCAGGGGAGCAAACGGG